rnacentral:rRNA from 1 species
UACGUAGGGGGCAAGCGUUGUCCGGAAUCAUUGGGCGUAAAGCGCGUGUAGGCGGCUCGGUAAGUCUGCUGUGAAAGUCCAGGGCUCAACCCUGGGAUGCCGGUGGAUACUGUCGAGCUCGAGUCCGGAAGAGGCGAGUGGAAUUCCUGGUGUAGCGGUGAAAUGCGUAGAUAUUGGGAAGAACACCAGUGGCGAAGGCGGCUCACUGGUCCGCAACUGACGCUGAGGCGCGAAAGCGUGGGGAGCAAACAGG